GACUCUCCAGGUCCCCACUAGACUCAGAAGCCCAACUGGCUUCACCUAGUGGAUCCCGCACAGGGGCUGCAGGUGGAGCUACCUGCCAGUCCCCUGCCGUGCGCUCGCAUUCCUCAGCCCUUGGGUGGUCCAUGGGACUGGGCGCCAUGGAGCAGGGGGUGGUGCUUGUCGGGGAGGCUGGGGCCGCACAGGAGCCCAUGGAGUGGGUGGGAGGCUCAGGCAUGGCGGGCUGCAGGUCCGGAGCCCUGCCCUGCGGGAACGCAGCUAAGGCUCGGUGAGAAAUAGAGCGCAGCGCCGGUGGGCUGGCACUGCUGGGGGACCCAGUACACUCUCCGCAGCCACUGGCCCGGGUGCUAAGUCCCUCAUUGCCCAGGGCCAACAGGGCUGGCCGGCUGCUCCGAGUGCUGGGCCGCCAAGCCCACGCCCGCCCACCCGGAACUCCAGCUGGCCCGCAAGCGCCGCACGCAGCCGCGGUUCCCGCUGGCGCCUCUCCCUCCACACCUCCCUGCAAGCUGAGGGAGCCGGCUCUGGCCUUGGCCAGCCUAGAAAGGGGCUCCCACAGUGCAGUGGUGGGCUGAAGGGCUCCUCAAAUGCCGCCAAAGUGGGAGCCCAGGCAGAGGAGGUGCCAAGAGCAAGCGAGGGCUCUGAGGACUGCCAGCACGCUGUCACCUGUCAUUAUCAACAACUUGACUAAAAUACCUCUGUGUUUGGCAGAAGAGGAAGCCAGAGAAAUUAGAAACAAGAGAAACAUUUGAUGCAUUAUUGCUGACUUGAAGAUGGAGAGAGGUUCCCCUGAGCAUACAGGAGUACUCCAUGAAGACUGCAAUGGCUUCCCUCUCACAAACUGCAUGCACGUCCAGCAGCUCCUGGAGUGUGUCUGUGGGGAAUCUCACUUGCUGGGCCAUCUGCUGGCUGUAGUGGUUGGCUGCCCUCUGCACGGCUGCUGAGUUCUCACACUGGGCCAGAACUGCCAUUGCAUUCUCCAGACAAGGAGUCGCUCCACUGUUGAUGGCAUCCAGAGACCAUCAAGCUUCAGAAGAUCAUGUGACAAAUGUUCCAGCCAGUUCCAGUUGAAGACACCACCCCUGGCCAUCAAGAAGCUACUCUGCCUCCACUAGACAGAGCAGGGUGACAGUUCCGUGAUCCCCAAUAGGUAGGGACUUUGCUUCAAGCCAGCAUGAGGCAGUUACAGAAGAAAGACCAUUAGUCACUCCACCUCCCAUAAAGAUUUAUGGGGAUGACAUCUCUCAGGGAGGAAAUGAGGCAGGAAAAUAGGAUCUGGAGGCAUAGAACAUAAGGCCUAUUCACACUUCAGCUAUGCCGGGAAAUAUUAUCUCCAUUUACAUAGGGCAUACACAAAGUAACCAAUGGAAACCUCUAGAGGGUAUUUAAAUCCCCCAAAAUUCUGUAACAGGACCCUUGAGCCCCUAUGCUUGGGCCCACUCCCACACUGUGGAGUGUACUUCCAUUUUCAAUAAAUAUCUGCUUUUGUUGCUUCAUUCUUUCCUUUCUUUGUGUGUUUUGUCCAAUCCUUUGUUCAAGAUACCAAGAACCUGGACACCCUCCACUGGUAACAAUAAGCUUGAGGAACAUAAAGUCAAUGGAGUGUCCAGUCCCUCAGAGAGAACAGGGUGGCAGAUUAAGACAACUGGGCAUAUUCUUUCUGACUCAGUGAGUCUUUUCUGCAUGACUUCCUAAGAUUGUAUAUUUUAUGUUGAGAGCUCUAGAGAUUGGGAAUACAGUAAAG
rnacentral:lncRNA from 1 species